AAUUUAAAUAAUGAACAAAUAAAUUUAUUGUUAUAUAUACUUAUAACAAAUACUAAUUUUACUAGUAAAUCUAUUUUAUAUUUUAAAUCUCUUCCUAUUUUUUAUUCUUUACAUGAGACAAAAUAUAUAAAUAUAUUGGAUAAAUAUAAAAAAUAUGUUGUUGUUAAUACAGAACAUAUGGAUUUAUUUGUUUAUAUUAUAACUGAUUUGAUUCAUUCGUUUGGUAUUGAUGGAAAUAGCAAUUUAUUAUGUGUUACAAAAAAUGAAAGUUUAUACCCAGAAAAAAGUAAAUAUGAUAUACUAUAUCAAAAUGGUAAGGAUAUUUUUUCUCAUACGGAAAAAGGAGACCACUGCGUUUUGAAUGAUGGUAAUGUAGAUAUUUGUAUUAACGGUAGUAGUAAUAUUAACGACAGUAGUAAUAUUAACGACAGUAGUAAUANNNNNNNNNNCGGUAGUAGUAAUAUUAACGGUAGUAGUAAUAUUAACGGUAGUAGUAGUAGUACUACUAUGAAUAGUAGCAAUUUAAAUAAUUUGUUAAGUUAUAAAACUGGUAAAAAGGGAAACAUGGAAGAGGAUUGUAGUAAUACGUAUGAGGAAGGUCUUAUAAAGGAUGUAUGUGUACAGGGUAUUAUGGGUUUGACCAAAAUGAAUAACAAUACUAACAACUACGAUGAUGAAAUUAACAGAAAUUUGCAUACAGUACCUCUCAAUAAAUACGAGAAGGAGAACAAUAACGAAAACAAAUCACAAAUGCAAUAUAUUUUAUUAUAUCAUGCAAAUGUUGAAGAAUAUUAUUGGAGACAUAUCCAAAUAGACUACUGGAAUAGUUAUGAUAUUAUUAAAAAUUUAUUUUUAGACGUAUUAAAAAANNNNNNNNNNUUUUUUUCGAUCUUAUCUGUUUUUGCUUCAUUAUUUAAAUUUGAUGCAUUUUCAUUUAAAUUUGAGGCAUUUUCAUUUAAAUUUGAGGAAUUUCUAUUUAAAUUUGAUGUAUUUACUUUUUUAUUUAAAUUUAUAUUAUUAUUUUCAGUAGUUUCGGAUUGAUUCUUAUGAUUAUUAUUAAGAAUGCGCAUUUUUUUUUUUUUUUUUUAUUGUUACAAUUCAC
rnacentral:lncRNA from 1 species